rnacentral:lncRNA from 1 species
GGACCAAAACUGACCCUGAGAGAGGAGAUUCAUCCCCAAUGGUGUCCAAGCCUGAUAAUGCCUGUCUACCUAACAUUCGCCUCUACAAGUACCAGAGGCUCUGGGAAACAUUUACACCAACUGAGAGGGAUCAUUCACCAACUUCCGGUGAUGCAUGGAGAGCCAAUCAUUGAUCAGUGGCCAGAAGCUGGAUCUGUUGCAGUCUCAAUGUGACUAUCAGAAUACUGGAACAACACGACCUAAGGAUAAUGGAAGGGGGGAAAUCUUGUGCUGGGAAAGGAAAGGGCACCAACCAGAGGACGAACUUUCUUCGGUGAGGGAAUUUCCAAUUUAAAGAUGAGACUAAAACCCAGAAAGUGACAAGACAAUGUUGGGUGUGACGGCACCUUACCCAGGUCUGCUCGCGUGUGCUCAUGUGUGCAUACACUUUAAGCUAUGGUCGCACUUCAGGGCCCUGACGACUUGAUGGCUUUGCUGUGUCUCUAUCCCCAGCUUCCCAAUGUGGCCACAUUGAAUAAACCUCCUCCUUCUGUUUUCU